AGCCAACCAUUUGAGUAGUGUGGUCCAACAUGGAGUGACAUGACUUGAUGGGACCAUACAAGAGUUAAUGCUAGCAAUAGUCAAAGGGAAUGUAGCCUAUGGCUCGAAGUGACGAUUGAUAAGAGACCCUUUGGUCGAAGAUGAUGCUGGGGUCAAGAUUUUUCGUGGAUCAGUGUCUAAUGUCUGGAUGUCGUCCUGAUGUUUGUGGCUAAGGAUCCACAAUCGAAGCUAAAAUCGGCAGUCA
rnacentral:lncRNA from 1 species